rnacentral:rRNA from 1 species
GAUGAACGCUGGCGGUAUGCUUAACACAUCCAAGUCGAACGGACUCUUCGGAGUUAGUGGCGGACGGGUGAGUAACGCGUGAGAAUCUGGCUUUGGGUUCGGGACAACCACUGGAAACGGUGGCUAAUACCGGAUGUGCCGAGAGGUAAAAGAGAAAUUGCCUGAAGAUGAGCUCGCGUCUGAUUAGCUAGUUGGUGAGGUAAAGGCUCACCAAGGCAGCGAUCAGUAGCUGGUCUGAGAGGAUGACCAGCCACACUGGGACUGAGACACGGCCCAGACUCAUACGGGAGGCAGCAGUGGGGAAUUUUCCGCAAUGGGCGAAAGCAUGACGGAGCAAUACCGCGUGAGAGAAGAAGGCUCUUGGGUUGUAAACCUCUUUUCUUAGGGAAGAACAAAAUGACGGUACCUAAGGAAUCAGCAUCGGCUAACUCCGUG